rnacentral:lncRNA from 1 species
AAGCCUAGAGCUGGCAGCUGGGUGUGGAGAAUGAUAUAUAGAGCUGGAGAAUGGAGGAAGACGAGUUGAAGCUAUAAAUCAUUAGCAUGGUAUGAAGGUAUGAGCCCUAAUUUUCCAUGCCUUAUCAUGACAUAAAUGGCCUUGUGACAGCUUUUUCCAGUGUAACCGUAUAAGUUACUUAGGUACAGGUAGAUGCACAGCUCCACCAUGAUCAACAGAUGCAAGAAUAACGUAACAAACAAAUGACUUCAGUUGGGGGUGAGUUUAACAAUUGGUCCAAUUGACUAUGGCCCAUGAAUUGAAAACUGCAAUAACUCCACGGUGAUGAGACCCCACCCAUGCCACCAAAUCCAGGUUGGUGAUGGGGUAAACAAAGCAAUGUUCUUUUCUCCUUUUUUUCCCCCCUGAGGUGUGUGAUGGUCAAGGUCCUGGUUUGUUUACUAUAGGACGGUCGUCUUAAAGUCAUUUGGACUCUGGGUUGGAAAUAUAGGAGGGGAGCAUUAAGUGUUAACUUGUUUUAUUUGUAGAUAACUAGUAUGGUACUCUGGAGAGGUAUGUGUUGUUUUAGCAGCCCAGCACAAGGGGUUUGAUGGUUGAUCUGUAUUGGGCCUAUUGGCUAUUUGGCUUAAAAAUGUCUGGAACUAGAGAUUUACCUCGGUGAGCAGUUAUAGAUGGUGUGCAGCUUGUUUUUAGCAAACACUGCUAGUGCUUGUUUUUAGCUAACUAUAUAUAGAGUGCAAGUUAUUUUUACUAAUGCCUGCUUCUAAUGCAUAUUUGAUUUAUGUAUGGUUUCUAUUUUGGUUUUAGGUUUAAAUGAAAGGACUAAAUAGUUGAACAUUAAGUCAGAACAAUUUAUGAAUUGCGAAUGUCUUGUAGAAUACCAACUACCAAGUCAUUGCUUCAGUGAGACGUAGAAAUGGAAGGAUGUGUCAGGUCAUUGAAGCUUUGCUUUACAAAAGACAGAAAGAAACAGAAAUGAAUAUGAUUGCAGCCUUUUACGAUGAACGGUGUUAAUGUUUGCAGAUAUUGCUCACCUGGCUAGCUGAGUUGUGAGCAUUAUAAAUGUGCGAUCAGUGAUUAAAAGCAAUAAUAAGAUACUGCAAAGAAAUAUAUUAGUUACAUAAAUAGAAAUAACACACAAUUGAAAAUACCAUGUCAUAUAAUUUCAUCUCCCUGCCUUGACAGUUCCCAUUCACUGUUUACCAUAGUAAUCAUAUCCAUUGUUUGUUUGUAUUAAUGUUGUCAAGCUAAUGUCAGAACAAAUUAACAAGUAAUAUCAUGUCGUGUAAAGAACUACAGUUUGGUUUGCUAACACUGAUUAUGCUUGAUCUUUUAUAGCGCUACGUAAUACAUUAUAUGAUCUAAUAUUUUUGUGAUCUGUCUUUAAUUAAUUAUACUGGGGGUUAUUUUUAUAUGAUCCCAGUUUCAGUUUCUUUAAUACUACCUCCGUUUCAGGUUGUAAGACUUUUUAGUAUUGUCCACAUUCUUAUAGAUGUUAAUGAAUCUAGGCACACAUAUAUGUUUAGAUUUAUUAACAUAUAUAUGAAUGUGGGCAAUGCUAGAAAGUCUUAUAAUAUGAAACGGAGGAAGUAUCAUUUAAAAGAAGUUCCAAAAUUCAAGGUUUUUUACUGAUAAAAAUGCAUGGAAUGAUAUUAAAAAAAAUCAAUUAAAGAAGAAUUUGCAAAAACAAUGCCUCUUAUAUUCCAUCUAUAAGGUUCAUAUGGAAUCAAUGUUUCUUAGGUAUACAGAGAAGAACAGAAAAGACCAUCGAUUGCAUGAAGAAAGAGAGAGGUAGCUAAUCCUUAUUACUGGUCUUAUGUUCCAGUUACCGUGAUAAAAAUGUCUGCAUGUCAUCUCUUUCUCCCUGGAGUUCAACCUGCUUUUGAAACGAAGGGCAGGAACUCUGCCUCAUUCCUAACAGAAGAAUAAGAAAACAAGCUACAAAUCCAGUCAAAAACACCACAAAACCGGCUCAUGUUAACUAGCAUAUUUACUGGCUCUUCUCUAGUAAUUCUUUGACCGUAGUAUCUUAAUCAAAAAGCACAGGAGUUUCUGAUAUCACUGCCCUGCAGCAGGAAUAUGUGGUGACAGAAGAAACAGAAGGACGCAAGAGCGAGCGAUCUCUACAUCGGCAGCUACAGUGAUUGGACUAUUAGCUGAUGAUAUCUCCACAGUGCCUUACUGUGAAGAUGCACAGCCUCUUAAAUGGCACCAGAUGGAUGGUCUCCCCCGAUUACCUUUCCUUGAGGUAUGUCUUGUUUAGCUCUUUCCCACAGGGGCAGCACUUUUAAAGCACGCAUAUAACACAAUGCUUGUAUUCAAAGCGGUCCAAACUGCAAAAGCGGUUAGCGCCCCACUGAUGCACUGAAGGCUGUCAUAAUACUUCAACUAUUGAGUGGUUCAGUGUGUGAACAUUGCAGGUAAAAAUGUUUUAUCUGUCACUGUAGACGCGCAAAGAUGAAAGAAGACAGCCAUAAAUACUUUCUGGCCUGGGUAACCGAUCGGUUCAGUAAAACACCAUGGGUGCUAUCUUGAGUUCUUGACUUCUUCCAUGUAAACAUGCAAACACCAUCUUGCAAGUCCUGACUCUGCAUUGGUAUGACCUUUCGAUCUCUAUUAGUAUUAUUUUCUGACAGUCCUUUGCAUCUGCUAUGCAUAAAUAACCUACGUUUAAUACUUCAAAUGUGUAUCUGUAUAAGUCAAUUUUUUUGCCAAAACAACUAAACACGGCUCUUUAGGAAUUCAGAGCAGGAAAACUCUGCCUAAAAUUUAUGAGUCUAAAGCCUGCAUAUGCAGUGGUGUCAGUUUCCGCACUGUUUUGCGGUCAGGUGCAACCAAUCUGACCUAAUUAGAAUGUUGGAUGUUGACAUUAGGUGCGAUAACCAUGAGGUUUGACGAGUAAAGUAACGUCGGCAUGAAGAUUAAUCCCAUCAUUUGCCUAAUUCCAGGACACUGUUAGCUACAGACGAUUUACGGAUCAUAAUUUAAUGUAUUCACUUGUAGCACUAUAUGGUUAUUACUGCUGAUCAUUUUCCACGUGAAAGACAAAAUGUUAGGUAGCAAGGGGUGGUUCUUCCGUGCAAGCCUCUGGCAGUGGCUUUCCUUUGCUUGCGCCUGAGUUGUCAUGUAAAUUGUAAUUUUCUGAUGUAUGUAAUUUUGUUCUUUUAUCCAGAGGCAGGACAUGAUUGAAUGAAAAACCCAACAGCAAGCUGACAUCAAUGUUUUUCUACGGUUUUUACGUCAAGAGAUUAUGACAUGACACAAGAAAUGUAGACAAGAUUGUCACCUUGUAGAAGGCAGGCAUUUUAUUUCCCUCUGUUGUUAGCAUCUUUUAUACACAUUUGGUAAAAAGGCAUACUAAUUCAUCAUUCUGCAGAUCCAUAGGAGAAUAAUUGAUUAGAGCCGGACCAUACAGGUAUAUACAGUAUUGGUUAUAUUAUCCUUUCGAUGAAAGUUGUCUUGAGGUGACUUCUUUCUUUUGUUAUAAGCUGAAUACAUAUAUUACAGAUUUACAGUACCUUCAAAACACUGUUUCUCUUGGGUAUUAAGAUGAAAUCAGGUAAUCAUGGAUUAACUGUUUCUGCUAUCGCCAGCUUCAUUAACGGAUACAUGCAGGGAUUAUCUGAUUAUCCGGGGAAUGUCCAACUUGACUUCAGUUGCCGUUGGUCACAAGUAAAAAUUGACAUGUCCAAUCAUUAAUCCAUCCAUUAUAUUAUUGAUUACAAAGAGCUGUCAUUUUUCAAACUUCAAAUCUAUAUGGUUUUGGACUCAAUCAUGUCGGGUGCUAACUCAAGAUCGUUGAGAUCCACACGGCUUGCAGGAUAACGAGAAGAGAACAAGUCAUGGAAAUAUCGACACGUGACAGGGAUGUAUCGAUAUCGGACCUCUUCUCGAGGACCUCCCAUGUUUUCAUGAUUGAUGACGCGAUUAGCAUUAACUAAUCCUAUCUUUUAUUCCUUAUUGCAAGUUGGUUUUUCUUAUUAUGAGUGAUCAAUGCAAGCUAGUGCUGGAAAGAGGAGAAGAACAAGCAAUUAAAGCUCAGAAGCAAGUGGCAAGUGCUGAUGAUUGACAAAAAUAGACUAAACACACCCAUCUAUCAGGAUCGUAUCUUCGUAGGUACGUAUACUCUUAUACGUUGGUGCUUAUUUUGGGUUGGUUUGUAUACACAAAGAAUGUUAUGCAAAUUGGUCAAUUAGUUGCAUGAAUAUUGGCUUUGAACAUUCUUCUGCAAUAAUAACUACUUUUUUAUACAACAAUUUGUGCUACCAAACCAGCUAGUACAUGUACAGUACAGGCACUCCCCGUAAUUUGGAGAAGAGUACCGAGAUAAGUAUGUAUGUACAUGACACAAAGUGAGUUGGAUCAUGCAUAUGGGUCCCAGAUGUCUACAUCCUGGUACCAACUUCCAACCCAGUGUUCUUUACACGCAUCAAUCCGUAUAUUCUAGAUGCUAAACUACACAUUUCAAUUGAUCUACAUGCAUAUUCUCUGUUCAGAAAACAUGCAUGCUUGCACCUAAAACUGGAUUUACGCCUAAUAACAUUUAUAUACAUUACUGCAUAUGCUGACUGCACAUUGAGUGAUUAGUUAAUAUACGUACAUAUAAGUUCUGAACUGUCAGAAAUUCAGAAGUUCCAG